GGCUCCAUAGCUCAGUGGUUAGAGCGCUGGUCUUGUAAUCCAGAGGUCGCGAGUUUAACCA
rfam:Astyanax mexicanus Tnplaced_Scaffold2721, whole genome shotgun sequence.